UACGUAGGGUGCAAGCGUUAAUCGGAAUUACUGGGCGUAAAGCGUGCGCAGGCGGUUUUGUAAGUCUGACGUGAAAUCCCCGGGCUCAACCUGGGAAUUGCGUUGGAGACUGCAAGGCUGGAGUCUGGCAGAGGGGGGUAGAAUUCCACGUGUAGCAGUGAAAUGCGUAGAGAUGUGGAGGAACACCGAUGGCGAAGGCCAGCCCCCUGGGUCAAGACUGACGCUCAUGCACGAA
rnacentral:rRNA from 1 species